GACUUCCUGCUGUGGUGGCCUGACUUCUCCCGUGGUAGACUGUCCCCUCGGGCUGUGAGCCAAGACAAAUCCUUUAGACAGGGCCAGAUCAAUUGUCCUGAUCACUGAUAACUGCUCUCAGGUCGUCUGCAUCUCCUGGGAGGAUCGCUGUUCCUACAGAACUCACCACGGAACUCGAACUUACCAGAUCCAAACCACCUGUCCGGUCAAUUCCCUGCUCAGCUCCCAGAUGCCCGCCCUCUUCUCAUUUCCUCUGGCAUGUCAGGCCUCCACCACCCGGUGCACGGCUACUUCAGCAACCUCCAGCGCUCUUCCUUUUAAUCCAGCCUGUGAUCAGGAAUUACGACAUGCCCAGCCUGCACGCUGCCUGAGACAUGACUAUGAGCUCGCCACCCUCCCUGAACCUGUGUCCAUCUGACCUGUUGGCCAUCUCUUCUGAUGACCAGUUCCACCCAAGAAUUCUGCUACAAACCUCUCAAGUUUGAGGGGUACAAGAAGCACACCCCCCACCAACACACGCACACUUUGGUUCAACUAGCUGUGAAUCCUGGAGUCCCCAUGUUUCUGACAAUGCUUUGAUUUUUUUUUCAUCAGCACAAAACUGAAGGGAGAGAUAUGCAGAAUAAAGCCCUACCUGGGAAGAUCUGAAGUGAAGAGCGUAUGUGUCCUCAGUGGCACGGUGUCCUCUGAGGACGUCCAUGUGUGGCUGUCCCUUAUGCUACCUAUUCCAGAAGCUCCAGGUUUUAGUGUUCCGAGUUUCUGCCCAGGCUCCCAGGGUCAUGAUUGACAGUCAUUUUCUUCUCUCUUUCUGCUCUCUGCCCCUUGGUCCUCCUGGUCUGGCCAGCCCCCUGCCUGAUAUUAUAGGUGUCCUAGCCCUGCCCUUCAUCUGUCAGAUGAAGGAUCACAUGUCCAUGUAAGCUCUCUGGUCACCACAGCAUGGAGUGUGAUCCCAAGGGCCUUAGAGAAACAUGACACCCCAUCAGUUGGGGGAAUUCUGCGGCUGAUCCCCCAAGGUCAUCACAUCCCUGGCUCACACUCCCUUACUUUAGAAUUAAAAUGUCAGUUAUUCAGUAGGAGCUCCAAGGUCUU
rnacentral:lncRNA from 1 species